GUCAGCGAGAAAAACCUGCCUCAAACUACAUUCUCUCUUUUUUGUUUUACCGGGAGGGGUGAGGACAACUCUGGUGUCCAGCCGUGAAUUUUAGCCAAAGCUUGGCCUGUCUUCUGCUGCCGUACUCAGGCUUCCAGGCUGGUGUGUGGAGUUGAUGACUGUCUCAACACAUGUUAAUUGUUCUCCCAAUGUGCUAAGCAUAACACCGGGACCCCAACCAUCAUCAUUAGUUUCUCGAUCUAAUUCUCCAUCCAUUUUACUGUCAAUGGAGGAGUGUUCUUUUAUUGCUUUUAAAGGAGAAUUUGGGCCAGCUGGGUUUCUGCCUCUGUUAGGCACUAAUCAGCUGGGGCGCUGCUUUAAAGGUGAGUCAGCACUGAAAUAUCCCUUCAGGUGUUACCAAGCUUCUACCAAACCGGAGUCUGGCGGGUAACCUUGCCUAGAGCUUCCUGAUAGGGGUGCUAGUUGGUUGUCACCUUGUUCACACGUCUCAUUCACA
ensembl:lncRNA